GAGAGAGGAGAGCAUAUUUAUAGGAAAUUUUUUAUUUUGGUAGGUGGGAAUGUUACGAUCAAUUUAUGUUCACCAUAAACUUUACUACUAAUUUACAACUGCAUUCCUCGUAAAAAGGUCGUUAAUUAGAUGGAAACUAUUCGAUGUGAAAUAGACGUAAUUUAACGAUCUCUUAACGAUGAAAUAGAAAGGUUGUCGUAAACUAGUCGUAACGUUAUGACUAAUUUACGACGAAAGGCUUUCGUAGCAAAAUUAUGACUAGGUAAUUGUUAAAAAGACAUUACUUUACGACUAUUUUAUAACGAAACAUUAUCAUAGCAAACUUACGUCUAGAUUACGACGAUUUCACAU
rnacentral:lncRNA from 1 species